CCUACGGGAGGCAGCAGUGAGGAAUAUUGGUCAAUGGGCGCAACCCUGAACCAGCCACGUCGCGUGAAUGAUGACUGCCCUCCGGGUUGUAAACUUCUUUUAUAAAGGACUAAAGUGAGGCACGUGUGCCUUUUUGUAUGUCCUUUCUUAAUCAGGCUCGGCUAACUCCGUGCCAGCAGCCGCGGUAAUACGGAGGGUCCGAGCGUUAUCCGGAUUUAUUGGGUUUCAAGGGAGCGGAGAUGGGUUGUUAAGUCAGUUGUGAAAGUUUGCGGCUCAACCGUAGAAGUGCAAUUGAUACUGGGAGGCUUGAGUACAGGUGAGGUAGGCGGAAUUCGUGGUGUAGCGGUGAAAUGCUUAGAUAUCACGAAGAACUCCGAUUGCGAAGGCAGCUUACUAAACUGCCACUGACAUUGAUGCUCGAAAGUGUGGGUAUCAAACAGGAUUAGAUACCCUAGUAGUC
rnacentral:rRNA from 1 species